UUCCUUGUUAAAUCGAAUGGUUGG
rnacentral:siRNA from 1 species